AUGUGUGUGUGCAUGUGUGAGGGAGGUGUAUGUGUCUCCAUGUGCACGUGUGCAUGUGUGUAUGUGUGCACGUGUGUGUGCAUGUGUGGGAGCUGUGUCUCUGUGUGCGUGUGUGUGUGUGUGCAUGUGUGGGAGCUGUGUCUCUGUGUGCAUGUGUGGGAGCUGUGUCUCCAUGUGCACUUGUGCGCGUGUGUGUGUGCAUGUGUGGGAGCUGUGUCUCUGUGUGCGUGUGUGUGUGUGUGCAUGUGUGGGAGCUGUGUCUCUGUGUGCAUGUGUGGGAGCUGUGUCUCCAUGUGCACUUGUGCGCGUGUGUGUGUGCAUGUGUGGGAGCUGUGUCUCUGUGUGCGUGUGUGUGUGUGCAUGUGUGGGAGCUGUGUCUCUGUGUGCGUGUGUGUGUGUGUGCAUGUGUGGGGAGCUGUGUCUCUGUGUGCAUGUGUGUGUGUGUGCAUGUGUGGGAGCUGUGUCUCUGUGUGCACGUGUGGGAGCUGUGUCUCCGUGUGCACGUGUGUGUGUGUGUACACGUGUGUGUGUGCAUGUGUGGGAGCUGUGUCUCUGUGUGCACAUGUGUGUGUGUGGGAGCUGUGUCUCUGUGUGCAUGUGUGUGUGUGUGCAUGUGUGGGAGCUGUGUCUCUGUGUGCACGUGUGGGAGCUGUGUCUCCGUGUGCACGUGUGUGUGUGUGCAUGUGUGGGAGCUGUGUCUCUGUGUGCAUGUGUGUGUGUGCAUGUGUGGGAGCUGUGUCUCUGUGUGCAUGUGUGUGUGUGCAUGUGUGGGAGCUGUGUCUCCGUGUGCACGUGUGUGUGUGUGUGCAUGUGUGGGAGCUGUGUCUCUGUGUGCACGUGUGUGUGUGUGUGCGUGUGACUCCUCUCCAGACCAGGUCCUGGCGUGUCUGGGGGACACACCCUUUGCCCUCCUCCCCUCCUGAUUCUUCCCUCUCUUCCUCGAACCUCUUGGGAUGCACAAACGCAGGCGCGCGUGGAGGCUGCGCCCAGGCCGGGCCGGCCUGA
rnacentral:lncRNA from 1 species